CUUUACCAAAGGCUGCGGUUGACAACUUACUGCAGCAGAUAAAACAGACUGAUGAUUAGACGCGAUAUUCACAGAGACUGAGUGAAGACUUCAAAGCUAACUCUCACAGUCCAUGUUUUUUUUAAAGUAUUGUUCUAUGAUAUCUUGUUGAAACACAUGGAAAGCAGGAACUGAUGCUUUGAAGGAAAACCAGUAUUCACCUAAAGUGGUAACGGAUGGAAUAUCUUGCACAACAUGAAGGUGACGGCUGGAUUUGGACUCAGGGGCUGCAGGUACCUUUGCAUGGUUGUGCCACUGCAGAGUGUGCAAAGGGGAAUAGGAGGAAGAACAAACUGAUUGGAUAACAUUGAAUGUCUAACUAAAUGCAGCCGAUGAUUUUCCUUGAUGGAAGUUAACAAAUUUAUCCUGCAGCAUACACUCCAAAUUGAACUGGACGAACAUGUAAUGUUUAACACAAGCAUCAUACGGUUAAUCUCUCUUCCACAAUUCAUAAACAGAGUCCAGAUUUUGAGGUUAUGCAAGUUGAGAUGGGAAACUGCUUCCUGUUUAAGUUCCUGAUAAGAUUUCUAGCUGCUCUAGAGCUACCAUGCAGAAGGAUUCUGAGCUUAAAGUGCACAUUAAGUUAAUAAAGGAAUUACAUCACUCAUUUUAGUGGGCAAAU